GCAAAACACAGAUUGUUUGGCAUCCGGAUGCCUCAGGAGCUUUUAUUUUGAUCCUCACAGGCCAUCUGGUGCUGGUGUGGAAGAUGGACAAAGAUCUGAGAUGAGGAAACACACAGAUCCACCCCUGCCCCCAAAACCCAAGGAUCAUUGCAGCCAAGAGUCUGUCAAAAUGUAUCAAGAAAGGAAGACAGUUAUAAAUAUUGAUUUUAUAACAGAUGCAUGAAGACUUUUAUUUGCCUAAUGGUAAGAUUAAAUCACUUCCCAUGUGCUUCUACUUUGUCCAACCACUAGAAAAUUUUAAUUUUUGUUAGGAAUGUUCUGGAGACUUUGUUUAAAAAAGAGCUCUAAGUUUUGUUAGUAUGCAAUUAAAAGAUCAAUGGCUAAAAUAACUGAGAAUAACUCUGCUCUUAUAAUGACAUAAAUUACACCUACAACCCCCUUUGACCUAAAACAGUCAAAAGCUCUCCUAGCAAACCCUUUGAUUUUUAAAUACUGGGCAAUUUUAGUUACUUGGUACCAAAACAAACACAUAGAGCAUUUUUAUUUUUAUUUUUAAAAGAUCUUUAGGAAGGGCAUAGCAAUGGCUACAACCAAAGUCAGAGUAUUAUUGUCACCUGGAACAAAGUUACAGUCUUCAUCCACCUUGAACAAGGACUGCACUUAAGAGUAUUAUCCUGAGACUUUGUGAUGCCUCAGUCAUAGCCUGAAUUGGAUUAAUACAUCUCAGCAUCCUUAAUACAGUGUUUGAAAGGAACUCUUCAGUUGCCUCAAUUAUAUAAUUAAAAACCCAUAAACAUCAUUUUCCCUUCAUAUCUUUAUGCUUUAUUAUAAUUCUGCCUGAACAUUUAAAUUCAGUAUUAUUCUCUUUUAGGGUCACUGCUGGAAUAACAUUUCUCAAAACAAUGUCUAUGCAGCAAGUUGCUCUAUCUUAGAGCAACUAUAAGGGCUCUAUGAAAAGUUGAAAUGACAAAUAAGGGAGUGCCCCUUGUGGCUCAGCGGGUUACAAACCCCACUAGCAUCCAUGACCAGGUGGGUUUGAUCCCUGGCCUCGCUCAGUGGGUUAAGGAUCUGGCAUUGCUGUGAGUUGUGGUAUAGGUUACAGAUACAGCUCAGAUCUGGCAUUGCUGUGGCUGUGGUGCAGGCUGGCAGCUGCAGCUCCGAUUCCAAACCCAGCCCGGGGACUUCCCUAUGCCCCCCCAAAAAAAAAAAAAAAAAAAAAAAAAAAAAGACAAUAAGUUAGUAAUUUAAAUAAAAAGUUAUCUGAAGAGCUUUCAUUUAAUUUCCAGGUAGGAAUUAAAAAUUUGGUACUAUUUAUCACACUUCAUAUCAUCAUCCAGAUCCAGGGAUCAAUUCUAAGGAGACAUGAUUAAGCUGACAUACAAUGAGAAGUACAGGUGACCCCUGAACACCAUGAGUUUGAACUGUACAGUCCACUUACAGGUGGAUUUUUUCCACUAAAUAUGUAUUACAGUACUACCCAAUCUGUGGCUGG
ensembl:lncRNA